UCAUGCUAAUUAGAAAAGACAGGCAUGCAAAAAAGUUCAGAGUCACAAUAAAGAGAUUCAAAUUCAGCUCAUUGACUCAGAAUGAGUGUGAUAGUCCAGAAUUCCAAAGUAGAACCCUAACCCAAACACAAAAUCCGAUAAAGAUACAAGAAGGCAAGCCACUGAUAAAGGCUCAAAAGUCUCUUUCAGAGACUUAUGAGAAACAAACAAACAUGAUAGCAGCUUUGAAGCAACAGAGUGAAAGAAUUGUUUUAAGAGCAUAAAGAACAUGAUUAAGAAAUGUUCGGGACUUAAACAAAUUCAGAAUGGAGGAGAGGCAAUACAAACUUAAUAAAAGUAGAUGAAACAUUCUUGGCAAGAACUCGAACAAAAUCCAGUAAAGCAAACAAAAUUAAAGAACUCAGCAGGAGGCACAUACAAUAGAAUAAUACUGGAAAGCAUAUCAAAGAACAUGUAGGAAAAUAUAGCAGAGAUUAGCAUGUGAGCCUAGUCCACAAGCAUAGUAGAAUACAAAGCACAAAAGUAUCAUGUAUAGUAGAAAAAGACGAGUACAAGAAUAACACAUGUGUGGUAAAAAGAAAAUACACGAGCAUAAUAUAGGGAAACACAUAUAAAGAAAAGAGAAGGAAGAAUAAAAAGAUGUUUUGAAAACCUUUCAGAAACCCUAAAUCGACGACAAGUGAUUUUGAAAAGGAAAAUUUAGGGAAAAUACUUUCAAUGUCCAGUAGAACACAAAUACAUCACAUAUCUAAGAAAAUAAACAGAUAAAAAACCUCGAACAACUUAAGGGCUCGGAGGAACCCUAAAAAUGGGAAAGGCUUGGAAAAGUCAGAUCCUGGGGUCGGAUGAGUGAGAAUCAGGCUCCUGAGGCUUGAAUAUGCUGGAGCGCAAAGGCCGGAGAGGCUAUAGAACCAUAGAUAUGAGAAGAUCUGAAAGAGAACCAUCGAGGUCAGGCUUCAAAACCUCGAACAACCAAGGUCUAAUGGCGGAGGGGGGUUUGUAUAGGCCAUCCAUGGCUUGAGAAACCAUGGACUCCGGUGAAAGGCGGUUGAAAAGGGGUGGAAGAAGGCUAGGGUUCCGAAGAGCCUUGAAAGAGUAUUGAGAGAC
rnacentral:lncRNA from 1 species